rnacentral:tRNA from 1 species
GGGCGGUUAGCUCAGUGGUAGAGCGCUGCAUUCACAUUGCAGAUGUCAUAGGUUCAAAUCCUAUACCGCCCACCA